rnacentral:ncRNA from 2 species
CCCUUCGAGGAGCGUUGCGACGGGCAAAGGCCCGCCAGGCUCGAAGGGGAGUUUCUUAACUUAGCAACGGCGCUCAACACAA